rnacentral:rRNA from 1 species
AUACGUAGGGUGCAAGCGUUAAUCGGAAUUACUGGGCGUAAAGCGUGCGCAGGCGGUUUUGUAAGACAGUGGUGAAAUCCCCGGGCUCAACCUGGGAACUGCCAUUGUGACUGCAAGGCUGGAGUGCGGCAGAGGGGGAUGGAAUUCCGCGUGUAGCAGUGAAAUGCGUAGAUAUGCGGAGGAACACCGACGGCGAAGGCAAUCCCCUGGGCCUGCACUGACGCACAUGCACGAAAGCGUGGGGAGCAAACAGGAUUAGAUACCCUGGUAGUCCACGCCCUAAACGAUGUCAACUGGUUGUUGGGGAUUUAUUUUCUCAGUAACGAAGCUAACGCGUGAAGUUGACCGCCUGGGGAGUACGGCCGCGAGGUUAAAACUCAAAGGAAUUGACGGGG